rnacentral:lncRNA from 1 species
AACAAAAUAGUGUUAUUUAUAGUAUAUUAUGAAAAGUUACUACUUUUGCUAAGAGCAUAAUUAUCAGUCGUUCCCUCACUUGUACCAAUACUAUUGUGUCAGAGUUAAGAUAGAAAUUUGUUACCUAAAAUUAAUCAAAGAAAUUACAGCCGAUGAUGAACAUAAAAAAAAAUUAUGGUUCUAUAAAGCAGUAGUUUCAACUCCAUUAACAAGAUCUAUGGCAAAGAAUAUGGUGGCAUGGUAGUAGGAACUAGGAAGAAGAAGGAGAAAAGAGAGGAAGAGAUGGAUAAAGGUGUAG